rnacentral:lncRNA from 1 species
ACCAGACCUAUCGAACAGACAGAGUUUUUCCUAUCCGUCCAAGACGUCACAAGCAUGUAUAUACAAUAUAUUCUAAACAGAAAUUGAAUACAUGGAUUGCAUAAGAAAAGUAAAAUAAAAGUAAAUACUGCUUCUGGUACAUCACAUAUUUCAUUCAUUUACAUACAUAAGUUUUCCUUCUCAAAAUACAAUUCAAAAUGAGCCUUACAUUUUCUUUAUCCCGUCUUUAUAUUGUUCCCUACAAUUACAUUAUACAAAAU